rnacentral:rRNA from 1 species
UACGAACUGUGCAAACGUUAUUCGGAAUCACUGGGCUUAAAGGGUGCGUAGGCGGCUUAUCAAGUAGGGUGUGAAAGCCCCCGGCUUAACCGGGGAAUUGCGCCCUAAACUGACGAGCUGGAGUGGGACAGGGGUGUGUGGAACUUCCGGUGGAGCGGUGAAAUGUGUUGAUAUCGGAAGGAACGCCGGUGGCGAAAGCGACACACUGGGUCCCAACUGACGCUGAGGAACGAAAGCCAGGGGAGCAAACGGG